rnacentral:RNase_P_RNA from 1 species
CGAGUUAAUUGAACGGCUGCGUGUUUCAUUUGAAGCAUGAGGAAAGUCCGAGCCCCGUAGGACAGGAUAACAGCUAACGGCUGCCGGCGGUGACGCCAGGGAAAGUGCAACAGAGAUAUACCGCCGCAUUUAUGCGGUAAGGGUGGAAAGGCGAGGUAAGAGCUCACCGGCGCCGUGGAGACACGGUUGCCCUGUAAACCCUAUCCGGAGCAACGCUGAAUAAGGCUAUACGCUGGUCCGGCGUGCCUUGAAAAGCGGCUUGAGCGGCAAAGCGAUUUGCCGCCUAGAUAGAUAGUCGUUCACGACAGAACUCGGCUUACAGAUUAACUCACUUU